CCAUUUUGGCCCCCCCAGUCAAAGUCCCUUUUCUCUAAAAUAUAAGCAAAACAUGGAAUUUAGAAGGGAGGUUUGAUAUUCUAGUAAACUUUUAUGUUUAAUAAAUACCUUAUUAGAUUCUAAACAUUUCCCAGGCAGUGCAUUGCAUUUCCCAGACCCUAUAGAGUUUGAGUUGUUGGACAAGUUAGUGACCGCAGGGGGCAACAGGCCCUCAACCAAGUGUUUUAUAAGGGGGGGGAUAAUUUUGGCCCCCACCAAAAAAAAACAAUUUGAUUUCGAAACUAGAAGUAUUUGAAAUCAUAUAUACAUAUAAUCAAAUAUCUGUAAUCGAUAUUUUGAUAACAUUUCUCGUAAUAAUCCAUCCUGACUUGCGGAUAUCAUAGAGUCGACUCACAAAUCAUAAUGAACGAAUUAAUGAAAGGGCCAAACAAAAGACGUAUAGAAGACUUUGAAAAUGCCAUUUCCGAUGAUUUAGAGACGCAAAAUUUUCAAAAUUUUUCCGCUCUGUGCCAACCAUGGUGGCGCUUCGUGGGAGUCGGGAACUCUAAGUUUAUCAAGCUGGCUGGCUCCCUAAGUGACGGCCAAGUUGUGGUAUCUACAUAAACAUACUAUGCAAGUACUUAACUGAAGGUUCAGUCUAUCUACAGCAUAGUGUAAUGCUGUAUAUUCAAAAAUCUGUUUCAGAAAAUGCAGGGAAAUGCAGUCAUAGGGGUAGAAAAAUACAAAAAUUUUCUGGAGGAGAAAACCCCAGACCCUCUCCAGGGCCGUAGCAACCAAGGAGGGGGGGGGGAGGCUGGGGGGCUGCAGCCCCCCAAUAAUUUGCUAAUAAUCAUUCAUUUUUCAAAAUCAUGCAGACCUUUAUUAUUUAAUCCAUGACAAACUGCAAAGAAUGAAGAUAUUACCCAUACUUUUCUAAAUUUCCGCAUACUAAAAACGCUGUUUUCUGACAAUCAGAAAUCUGUCAAAUCUUCCCCCAAAGUCCAGGAAAUGGCAUUUCAGAGACUCUAAAUUUAAAAAUUUCCUCGGGCCUUCGGCCCUCGCUUUCGCC